GGACAAUGGGGGAAACCCUGAUCCAGCCAUCCCGCGUGUGCGAUGAAGGCCUUCGGGUUGUAAAGCACUUUUGGCAGGAAAGAAACGUCGCGGGUUAAUACCCCGCGGAACUGACGGUACCUGCAGAAUAAGCACCGGCUAACUACGUGCCAGCAGCCGCGGUAAUACGUAGGGUGCAAGCGUUAAUCGGAAUUACUGGGCGUAAAGCGUGCGCAGGCGGUUCGGAAAGAAAGAUGUGAAAUCCCAGAGCUUAACUUUGGAACUGCAUUUUUAACUACCGGGCUAGAGUGUGUCAGAGGGAGGUGGAAUUCCGCGUGUAGCAGUGAAAUGCGUAGAUAUGCGGAGGAACACCGAUGGCGAAGGCAGCCUCCUGGGAUAACACUGACGCUCAUGCACGAAAGCGUGGGGAGCAAACAGGAUUAGAUACCCUGGUAGUCCACGCCCUAAACGAUGUCAACUAGCUGUUGGGGCCUUCGGACCUUGGUAGCGCAGCUAACGCGUGAAGUUGACCGCCUGG
rnacentral:rRNA from 1 species